rnacentral:rRNA from 1 species
GGGGAAUAUUGCACAAUGGGCGCAAGCCUGAUGCAGCGACGCCGCGUGAGGGAUGACGGCCUUCGGGUUGUAAACCUCUUUCAGCAGGGACGAAGCGCAAGUGACGGUACCUGCAGAAGAAGCACCGGCCAACUACGUGCCAGCAGCCGCGGUAAUACGUAGGGUGCAAGCGUUGUCCGGAAUUACUGGGCGUAAAGAGCUCGUAGGCGGUUUGUCGCGUCGUCUGUGAAAACC